rnacentral:rRNA from 1 species
CUCGGCAGACGGCUGAGUAACACGCGGGUAACCUGCCCUGGAGUGGGGGAUAACCUCGGGAAACUGAGAAUAAUACCCCAUAGGUGUGGUAUGCUGGAAUGCUUCCACGCUAAAAGCCCCGGCGCUCCAGGAUGGGCCUGCGGCAUAUCAGGCUGUAGUGGGUGUAACGGACCCACUAACCUACGACGGGUAGGGGCGUUGAGAGACGGAGCCCCCAGAUGGAUUCUGAGACACGAAUCCAGGCCCUACGGGGCGCAGCAGCUACGAAAACUGCCCAAUGUGGGAAACCACGAGGCGGGCAUUCCGAGUGCCAACGCAUUGCGUUGGCUGUUCUUUCGCCUAAAAAGCGAGAGAAGUAAGGGCCGGGUAAGACGGGUGCCAGCCGCCGCGGUAAUACCCGCGGCCCGAGUGGUGCUCUUUGUUAUUGAGCUUAAAGCGUCCGUAGCCGGCCUUGUAAAUCCUUGGGUAAAUCGGGCAGCUCAACUGUUCGAAUUCCGAGGAGACUGCAAGGCUC